rnacentral:misc_RNA from 1 species
GAUGAAGAACGCAGUGAAAUGCGAUAAGUAAUGUGAAUUGCAGAAUUCAGUGAAUCAUCGAAUCUUUGAACGCACAUUGCGCCCGCCAGUAUUCUGGCGGGCAUGCCUGUCUGAGCGUCAUUUCAACCCUUAUGCCCCUAGGGCGUGGUGUUGGGGAUCGGCCAAAGCCCGCGAGGGACGGCCGGCCCCUAAAUCUAGUGGCGGACCCGUCGUGGCCUCCUCUGCGAAGUAGUGAUAUUCCGCAUCGGAGAGCGACGAGCCCCUGCCGUUGAACCCCCAACUUUCCAAGGUUGACCUCAGAUCAGGUAGGAAUACCCGCUGAACUUAAGCAUAUCAAUAAGCGGAGGA